rnacentral:lncRNA from 1 species
AUUUUUUUUUUUUUUAUUGUGAAGUCAGUGGCACUCAAACAGCCUUGCACACUUCCCCAGGAAUGUGACAGGGAUACAGAAGGGCCAUGAAGUUGUCUGCCUGGAAAUCAUUGGUUGAAGAGUAUGUUAUAAGAUUAUUACAAGACCAAACAUAUCCCUUCACUAGUGUUAAGUUGGUAGCCCUUAGUGAUAAGUUAUGAUGCAGGUCAGAUCACACCACACAAGUGUGAAGCAGGUCCUCUGGGGAGCAAGCCUUGGACUGACUCUGACACUCACCACCAUCACUUGCUAUCGGAAAGUUCUUCACUCUAUUUGUAAGUCUUUUAGUUUUUUAUUUAAUUUUUUCUCACACUUACAUAUGGAUCUCAAUUUAUGAAAGGCUUGUGGUUUUAAAAAGAAGGCAUUAUUAAGUGAGUUCUGUUACAGGUUGUUUCAGAUAUUUUUAUUCAGAAAUUAAUUCUGUGUUUCUACAUAAUGGAAAGAAGGUCGAGGUUGUUUCAUUAAUAACUUUAAUAUUUCAUAAACCAUAAAUUGAUAUUCAUCUUUUGUUGUGUGUCUUUCAUGAACAUGAAAAUUAAACUUUAAUUACUACUUUCUCACCUCUCUUCUCUUCCGCUGAGGGGCUGAAAGUUGUGUGCCUUGUCUUGGCUAGUUUCUUUCUUGGAGAGACAACCUUGGUAGGUGUACAUAUGUUAUUACUGGCACACAUGUGGUGCCUUACAGUUAUUAGCAUAAUUUGAAGUGCCAACUACGUAGUUGUAUGUGAAACACUUGUGCUGCAGAAUCAAGUACAGUAUAUAACACACUUUGAGGUGCACCCAUGCAAUGGGAAUGUUCUCCAUGUUGCAGCCAACCUCAUGGGGUUGGGAGAGAGCUAUUUAAAAAAUCAAACCUACUUCAUGAGAGGGGCAUUAUGGGAGGAAACCUUUGCUCCAAACAUACGCUUUUUAAAUGCAGAAGCUGUCUAACUCUACAUGGGAAAAUAGGGAAGUGAAAGGAGUUAAUGGUAUCAUUACAUAUAAAAAAUAUAAUAAUAAUGACAAAAUAAAUAAUGAUAUUAAUAAUGAAAACUAUUUUUUACUCAAUUUCUCAUCACUGUGCCAGACAGGCCGAAGUUAACACAUCCUGUAUCAAAACCAAUGAAAAAACAAAGAACGAAAGUAAAUAAUACAUAACAGGAGAACUAUAAAGGUAUUAAAGAAAAUUACAGCACUUGUAUUUUGUACUUUAUUAAAAAAGAAAAGGGCAAGCAGUUUGAGUAUCUACACAUGACUCCUAAGCAGCUGGUACACUCCAGCGCAUCAGUGAAGCGUCCAGCGACUCCAAAGACUAGACCUGCACGAGCUGACCUAUGCUGCCACACCAGGUGGCACUGUGCUACCUGUGCUACACUUUUUUGGUUUGGUUUUCAAUGAAGUGCUAAAAAAAUGUACUUAUCUUUCCUCUCCACUGUGUACCUUCAAACAGUUUGCAAGAUAUUUUUUUUUUUUUUUUUUUUGCAGCUCUUUUUAGUAAAAUGCCAAAAAUGUACCUGAAUGUAGCUACUAAUUUUUCCUCUCCUUUGUGUUCCUGGUUCCUUCAAACUAUUUAUGAGAUUCUAUAAUUACAACUCACUAACUUUAGGGACUUGUAGGAAUCUGUGGCUGGAUCCUUUAGAAUAUAUAGUAUGUAAGUUAAGAUGCAGCUUCACUUUCAACCUCCCUAGUCCCUUAGUGCCAUUCUGAUCCUUGAUCCUCACAACACUGCCUUGGUUUGGUGCAAAUCAAAGCUUCAAUUUUAAGACACCAGUGACAACAAAAGUGGUUCUAAAAUUUCAAAUCUUCUAGCACUUGUAGUUAUAUUUUUAUUCAAUUAAAUUAUCUGUGGUUGCUCUUAACAAUUGUCAUACUUUUAUUAGCAUUAGCUAGUAACCUGAUUGUCACAGUAACUAGUUAAGCCAAAUCUUUCCCACAGGACUUCUACAUUUCAUGCAUCACCAGAUUACUCUUCCUAUGUCAGUAAAAGACUAAGCAGUUACCACUAAGUUUCACCUCAUGGAUUAAUAUUACUCUUAUUAUCAUGUAGCAAACACAUAUUAGAGACUUGAGUGACCAAACUACUGUGAAAUUCCUGUCUCUGUGUUGCUCAAAUGAUACAUUCAGCAAAUUGGUGGUAGAAAGCAGGCAAUACUCAAGUUGUAUGUACUGUGAAUAUAUGGUUGGCCUGAGGUACAGUUAGUUUUGUGUGGAAUGUUUUGAUCUAAGUGCUGACAAUGAUUAGUAUGAUUUCACACAUUAAUCCAGGUUGUGAGUCUUGACUUAUGCAGAAUAUAGUCCUCUGUUAACAGUAAAUGCCAUCCACUCUAAGGUCUAGGAAUAACAACUAGACAACCUCUCUGCAAGGCUCGUGAAUAGCACUCUUCAUACAUGUUGACUCAGCCAUUUUGAAAAUUCUGUCAUAUGAAGCAAGUAGAAAAUGGGGAAGCACACC